UGGUGGCUCAUGACCUUCUGUAAUGGGA
rnacentral:piRNA from 1 species